rnacentral:tRNA from 1 species
GCCUUCGUGGUGUAGUGGUCUGCAUGCUCGAAGCGUAACUGAGAGGUCCGUGGUUCGAUUCCCGGCGAAAGCG